AACAGAAAUACUUAUUCCUUAACGUUCAUUUUAUUAUUUAAAAAAAUUGAAUUUAAUUUUAAUGCUUAGAAAUGUUUCUAUACGUUUUUCUCUUCUUUCUGCAAACUUCUAACGCCAAAAUGGAAACACAAAAUUUCCUUUCUAAACAUCGAGGAGUACUUAAAGGACAGAAUAUAAUUUUCAAUUGUAUCACUCCUAUAGUUAAAUAUCCACUUUAUAUUUCGGGAAACGAGAAGCAAAUUAGUUACGAAUGGACAGACAAUGCAAAUAUGACUCUUUUAGAACCUAGAAUUGACGUGGAUUCGAAAAGAGGAACCAUACGAAUACGUAACGUUCAAGUAUCAGAUACGGGAUAUUAUAAAUGUACCAUAAAGAAUAAUACGCGAGAAAUUAAUUCUUUUUAUCAUAGAAUUAUUGUGUAUGAUUUGGUCACACCUUACGAUCGUUAUGAAGUGGAUAUGUAUGAUAGUAGCGAGAAUAUCAGGAAAACUAUCAUACCUGAGGAAGAUUUAGAGUAUAUAAAAAGAAAAAUAAAUGAACUUUGGACAAAACUUUGUCAUAAUAGAAAAUGCAAGGCGGAAUUUAUAAAAAUUCACGGAUGCAAUUAUGAUGAUGACAGGAAAAUGGAAAGCGAAAUUUGUUAUAUAUCUAUCGAUGUUAAAUCUACUCUUCGUUCUUCAAAUAAAUGUAAAGAUUUAUGUCUUCUAAAACUCCAAAAGAAUGAAAUGAAAAGUAUCGCUACUAGAUUUUAUCAAGAAAUAGGCGUAUUAAUUAAUGAUGACAUCAUUAUCAGGAGAUACUUAGUUAGUGAGAGUAUUAGAGGGCAAAGUUUUCUCCAUUGUGAUUCAGGAUUUCACUUUGUAGAACCUAAUCAUUGCAUUCCAUGUUAUCCUGGACGAUAUUGCAUUAAAAAUGAAAAUAAACCUUGCCCUAAAGGAACUUAUCAGAUGUAUUUUGGAAGAGGGGAUUGUACUCCUUGUCCUGAUGGAAAGACGACCGAAAAUGAAGGUCAAACUCAACUUAAGGCCUGUUUUUCUAAGAACGUCGAAACUAUCGUAAAACGUUAUCUACAAAGUUACAGCAACGUAUUGGACUUUAUGUUCGGAUAAUUAUAAAAUACAGCGAAAUUAAAUUCAUACCGCUGCACAUUGGCAUAGGAUAUAAGCAUUAAACCAUUAUAUAUAAAAACAAUACUAUUCAUCUAUACAUGCAUUUUUUUAAUUUAUAAUUAUCGAUCGAUCAGAUGGAACAUUUGUUAAUUUCUGCCACCAGGAGGCUUCGGAUUUUCAGGAUUGUUUGAUCACGUGGUAGUUGGAAACAUGUCAGCGACAGGAGACGAUGAUGUUUUAUACGAAGACAGUGAAAUUACUAAUAAUUACAGAAAUAAUACGUCAAAACCGAAAAAAUCUACCUCUUCGUGCACGCGAUAUCACAUAUCGGCAUUUGUAAUAACAUUUUUUAGGUGAGUUUUACAUUUAAUAUUUGAUUUCGUAAGAUUUAUAAGGUGUUGUAUUGAGUGAAAGUUACUUUAGGUUAUAAGGGUUAAAAUAUCCCCCUGGCGGUGCCACUUCAUAUAUUGUAUAAAUGUAUU
rnacentral:misc_RNA from 1 species